AGGCCAAGAAAUGGCCCGGCUCGCCUCACCAAAUUCCCAAGCUCUACGUUAGCGCCGGUAACAUCGAAGCUUGCUACACUCCGUCGUACACAAUUUUUGUGGCGCGUUUGCUUCAACCGCCGAUGAUCAAAAGCUGUCCGAUGAUCCUUCCUCUCCAUCUCUCGUCCCCCAACGACGCUCGCCACCACCGAUGAGCCUUCGACUGUCGACGUCACCAGAGAUCGGAGCCAAACACGCACAUAAGACUCCAAAAUGAUCUCCUUACCAACCGGUUCGACUCUCUUCUCAAUUCUCCCUAGUUUUUUUCCAACUCUGGUAUUUGUAAUUGUAGUGAAUUGAAGGUUCUGGAACUUGGAUUGGAAUCAGGUACUACACCUCUUCAAGGAUGCCGCCGAGAUCACCGACUCCGAUCCGCAAAACGAUGGACGAUGCGACGCCGCAGCGCUCCGUCGCUUAUGUUUCUCGGUCUCCGGUGUUGCGGUGGGAAAGCAACUGCGAGGAUCACAUUUUCAAGUGAUGGCGGGAGUGGGAAGAAGAAGAAAAAGAGCAGGUUUUGGUUGAAGAAGAAGAAGAAGGGUGUGGUGAGGAGCAGAAGAAAAAAAGUGGGAGAAGAUUUGGUGUUUGCUUGAAGAAGAGGAAGACUGUAGCUUCCAAAUGUGGAUCGUCUUCUGAUUCCAAAGAGGCUUAUUCUUCAUGAUAAUUAGGAAGAAGAACCAGAGCAGCAGCUGCAGCAUAAAGAGCAGCUUCAGCAAGGUGAUGUUGGUGUGUGGGAGUUUCUUAUUAUUGGUACUAGAUUGUUGAAUGACUUGAUGCCUCUAGGUUGUCUUGAACUUUCAAGUUGUUUGCAAUCAAGGAAACUGAUGGUGCAGCUGCAAUGUUCUCUCAACAUGCUCGAACGAGAUACUGGGUAUGUUUCACCAUUGAUAUCUU